CCUGGCGGCUAUAGCGGCGUGGUCCCACCUGAUCCCAUCCCGAACUCAGAAGUGAAACGCGCAUGCGCCGAUGGUAGUGUGGCUCAAGCCAUGCAAGAGUAGGUCACCGCCAGGGGCUUUAUCCCAAAAACCCGGUCUC
rnacentral:rRNA from 1 species